rnacentral:rRNA from 1 species
AGAGUUUGAUCAUGGCUCAGGACGAACGCUGGCGGCGUGCUUAACACAUGCAAGUCGAGCGGAAAGGCCACUUCGGUGGUACUCGAGCGGCGAACGGGUGAGUAACACGUGAGUAAUCUGCCCUUCACUUCGGGAUAGCCCUGGGAAACUGGGAUUAAUACCGGAUACGACCGGCGCCUGCAUGGGUUGUUGGUGGAAAGUUUUUUCGGUGGAGGAUGUGCUCGCGGCCUAUCAGCUUGUUGGUGGGGUAAUGGCCUACCAAGGCUUCGACGGGUAGCCGGCCUGAGAGGGUGACCGGCCACACUGGGACUGAGACACGGCCCAGACUCCUACGGGAGGCAGCAGUGGGGAAUAUUGGACAAUGGGCGGAAGCCUGAUCCAGCAACGCCGCGUGAGGGAUGACGGCCUUCGGGUUGUAAACCUCUUUCAGCGGGGACGAAGCGCAAGUGACGGUACCCGCAGAAGAAGCACCGGCCAACUACGUGCCAGCAGCCGCGGUA